AAAAAGACCGAAAUCCCCCCUACCGCCGCCCAAGUUGCGGCUCUGCACUUGAUUUCUGGGGAGUGUUGGAAAACAUGGCCAUAAAAAAAGAAUGGCGUCCAUUUACAUAAUGCUUUGUUUGCAUUUUGCAAGUUUCUUUCGGUUGAAUCUAGAGAAACCCCACCUCCUAGCGUCUUUUUAGUUGUGGCAGUCUUGUCAGACAUUUAAGACAAUGACGAAUUCACUUAGGCCCAGAGAGAUGAAGUGACUAAUUCAAGGUCACACAGUGUGGAGGAUGGAAUCCUGACCUUCUGAUUUCCUUAUUGGUGAGCACAUUUUCAAAUUUUUUUGGUUCUGCACCCAACAUGGGACUUGAACUCACUAUCCUGAGAUCAAGGGUUUCAUGCUGUACCAACUGAGCCAACUCUUGUUUCUUACCAUUAUACUAUACCAUUAUAUCAUGGAUUGAAGGGAAGAGAUUGGACAUGAAUUGCACUUUGUCCAACUUGAGAUGAGCAUAGAUCUGGAGGUCACACCUGGGCUCAGACCUACUUGCAGGAAUGCUUUCCAUUAUCUCCCUGACAGAUGAUCACCCAAGUUCUUUUUGAAUGCUUUCAUUGUUGGAGAGCUCAUUACUUCUUGAGGAAUCCCAUUAUAUGUUGAAUAGCUCUCUGGUGAUCUCAACCUUUCUGACAGCUCCACUUAACCGUCUACAUAUGGAUGAUGCCCAGCUCUGUCUGCAGACCGGUGUCCAGCUGCUCACGUGGCCGGCAUCACAGGGAUAUUGUGCACACUCACCACCAUGUGGCCUCCUGCUCCUCCUUACUUGCCGCCUCACCUGGUGUCCUGUCACAUGGUGAAAAGUGGUCUUGUCACUAUAAUAUGGUAGUUGAGAAUGUGACUCUGAUAGAUGUGAUGUAAUACGGCAUAUGACUCUGGAGCCCAUCUUCUGGGGCCUGAAUUCUGACUCAGCCACUCACUGUGUGACCUUGGGUCUGUGAGGCAGGUUCCACUAUUAUCAUCUCAUCUUGCGGAUGGGGAAGCCGAGGCAUGGAGCUGUAAAGUACCUAGUCCAAGGUUCCCAUGGUGGCAGUCUAGGCUCAGUCUCCAGAUACCCUCUGCACAUGCUCAUGAGGGCCUGUUGUUAUGUAUUUACCAGCACACCACUGGACAGAUUGCCUUAGGCUAAGGAGUGACCAGAGACCAGAUUGGACUCCUUGGAAAGAUUCCCAGAAGAGGGAGGGAAUCAUGGAUGGAAAGAAGCUUCCAUCCAUGUGGAGACUGGGGGCAGAUACGGACUGCAGCACCAGACCUGACACCCCAAGUCCGGAGGAGAGCAUGGCUUCUUGGGAAAAAGGUGAAGCUGGAAGACCUGAUGCCUUGCCCCACUGAAGCAGAACGCCAGAAGCACCCGUGGGCCCUGCUCCUAGGAGUCAUGCCAUAGACCCUGCACACCCACCCACGCACCCCAGCCCCAGGACUGGGGCCUCUGCACGGUCGGGGGGAGUUGUAUGGGACAGGGGACCAGCACUUAGGGCCUUACUUGUGGUGGUGAGUGCCCAGAAAGGGGAGGAAGGGAGACCAUGGUGUCCUUGGCCCCACACAGUCGGGGAGGGGGAGGCAGAGGGCAGGAUGACCCACUUUCAGAGCGGCGGGCCUGUGACCGGGAUUGCUUCACAUGGUCAGUCUGCAUGUGCAUGUCUGUCUGCAUCUCUUCAAAAGGCUUAAACAUCUGCGUCCUGUUUUCAUUAGCUUGUCCGCCAUGGUGAUGGGACCUGCCUAGUUCUCUGAGCCAACAAGUGUGCCCAGAGGCUGAUAAACAGCAGGUGCCUCCAAUAAAUCAGAUUUUAAUAGUCCGUGUAAAUGUGCGUGUAAAUGUGCGUGCAAACACACCUGGGAAAUGAAAGGUGGGAGCUGAAGUCUAUGCAAGUUACACAAUUUCAGAGCCGUUUCGAACUGAGGACUGCAGGGUAACCGUGUUUGCAUGGAUGGCAUAGGUUUUACACGUACAGGAGGUGUGUGCAGUUGUGCAGGGAGCGCAGCCGAUCUGAGUGCGGUGUGAAGGGUAGGUGCAUGUGCGUGUAGAUGGGCAUGUGGCCGAGAAGCCCCCAUCGGAUCAGGUGGGGACAAAAUCAGUGGUGUACUCCCUAGGGCCUGGGUCAGAAUGAAAGCGUGGGACCCCUUGUUCAAAAUUAUUGGGAAUUUCAGGACGGCCGUAGCGGCCGGCCAAAGCCAGCUUGGCCUUUCUGAGCGCAGAGCCCCGAGUGACGUCAGGUGAUAACUGCCCACGGAGCCUCCUGGGCUGGACCACAUGUACCUCCCGUCCCCCGGCCCAGCCUUCCUGUGCUGCCCCGGUAAGUCCCUCUGCUCUCUCCCCCUCCCUGAUUUGGGGGCUGGGGUGCUAGCCAGAGGCAGCCCCAGAUUCUCAGUGAGGGGGUGUGGAGGGUGGGGACUCCCUCGGUCCUUCCUGUUUAUUGUCCUGGUUUGCCUGCUUUCCGGUUGAGUAUGGUGUACCUGCUUCAGAGCACACUCAGGAGAUGCUGAUGGGUAAUAAAGAGGGUGUUCCCGCCCUGAUACCUGUACUUGUCAAUAAUUAACCAUGAUUUCCUAGGUUCUGGGAGGAGGCAGUGGCCCCUGGCCUGCCCCAGCUGGUUUAGCUCAUCACUGUGGAUUAACAUACCAAUUCCAAGGUCCCUGAAUGGUUCUAGCGUGUUCCCUUUAUGGCUUCUCCCAAAGGAUGAGAGUGCUGUGUGCUUUUGUCUGGGGAUCCAGAGGGGAACGUUCUAGCAGAACGCCUGCCGGUCCACUCUGAGGAGGGCCACCCACCUCAAGCCAAAGGACCCAGGAGUGUAAAGGUUAUUUUGGCAAAUGUAAAGGGCAAGGUGGGCAAGAAAGGUGGUCAGGAGUAGAGAUUUUGAUAAAUUUGUUAAUCACUGGAAAUGGGGCUUGGCCUGCCCCAGAGAGAGGGAGUGACCAAGGGCCCCCACCCCUGCAGGGGUAUGAUGUCCAGUUGGCUUUCCAGGGGAAAAAAAAGUCCUGGUUAAGA